UCCCAUGUGGUCUAAUGGUUAGGAUUCCUGGCUUUCACCCAGGCGGCCCGGAAGCUGAAUUUCCCGCCUUGGGAA